UUUCANUCAGGAGGAAAGGUUAGUAGUUAAUACGUGCUGUGCUCGUGUGAGUUACUGAUCAGAAGAGCACCDDCUAACUCCGUGCCAGCAGCCGCGGUAAUACGNAGGUGCGAGCGUUAAUCGGAAUUACUGGGCGUAAAGCGUGCGCAGGCGUUUGUAAGCCAGAUGUGAAAUCCCCGGGCUCAACCUGGGAACUGCAUUUGGAACUGGCUAACUAGAGAUGUGAUAGAGGGUGGUAGAAUUUCAGGUGUAGCGGUGAAAUGCUGUUUNUUAUGUGAAGGAAUACCGAUGGCGAAGGCAGCCACCUGGGCAACACUGACGCUUCAGUACGA
rnacentral:rRNA from 1 species